AAUCAACGCUGGCGGCGUGCCUCAGACAUGCAAGUCGAACGCGAAAGUUCCCUUCGGGGGGCGAGUAGAGUGGCGCACGGGUGAGUAACACGUAGGUAAUCUACCUUUGGGUGGGGAAUAACAGCCGGAAACGGCUGCUAAUACCGCAUAAUGCAGCGGCUCGACAUCGAGACAGUUGUUAAAGCGGGGGAUCGCAAGACCUCGCGCCUAAAGAGGAGCCUGCGGCGGAUUAGCUUGUUGGUGAGGUAAUGGCUCACCAAGGCAUCGAUCCGUAGCCGGCCUGAGAGGGCGGUCGGCCACACUGACACUGACAUACGGGUCAGACUCCUACGGGAGGCAGCAGUCGGGAAUUUUGGGCAAUGGGCGC
rnacentral:rRNA from 1 species